rnacentral:rRNA from 1 species
AUGGCAGAGGAACCGUCCGCCAAGCGUCAUCAUGGCGAGCCGUCGGACAAGAGCAGGAACCUCAUCGACGUUCACGUCCCCGGUGAGAAGCGCGAGUACACGAGAACCCUCACAGGGGUUGAGCUCCACGGCAAAGAGACGCUGGAGAUCCUCUGCACCAGCGAACCAGACAAGGCCGACAAGGUGAUGAGCAGGCUCAGGAUGAAGGGCGGCGGCUUGUAUCCGAGCUUCAUCGGAGUUGAUGUGGAUCCCAAGCGCCUCAAAGACAUCCUGCAGGAGGAGAAAUUGUACACAUUUGUCAGUUUUAGCAUUGGAGGUGACAAGCGGAUGUUGAACAAGUCUGGUUUGGAGAUCAACCCCAACAACUUCAUUGACAUGCAGCGCAAGUGCAAAGAUCCAAAGACCAGCAAAUACUACGACUCCUUGGCCAAUGUUGCAGGCGGCGUAAUCCACCCAUUCUACAGCGGCAUGAAGAAGAAGAUGGACAAGGGAGAACACAAACUGUGGGGGACCAGCCCGCUGCCAGACAACCUCAUCACGUACGCAGGAAUAGAUGCGUACGCCAUGUACAAGUCAUGGAAGACAAUCGACAACAUCGUGAAAGGUUGGUAUAUUUCAAAAGAGCAGGAGGCUGACCCCUACUACCACUGCAACUUCGCGGGAUGA